GAUGAACGCUGGCGGCGUGCAUAACACAUUCAAGUCGAACGGAGUGUAGCAAUACACUUAGUGGCGGACGGGUGAGUAACGCGUGAGUAACCUGCCUUUGAGUGGGGAACAACAGUUGGAAACGACUGCUAAUACCGACAAUAACGCAAACUGAUCGCAUGUUCAGAUUGCCAAAGCAUCGAGAGAUGUGCUCAAAGAUGGACUCGCGUCCGAUUAGAUAGUUGGCGGGGUAACGGCCCACCAAGUCGACGAUCGGUAGCCGGACUGAGAGGUUGAACGGCCACAUUGGAACUGAGAUACGGUCCAG
rnacentral:rRNA from 1 species